GCCUCUGUAGCUCAGUUCGUUAGAGCGCUUCACCAGAAUUGCAGGGCCGCAGGUCCGAUUCCUGCCAGGGACA